rnacentral:misc_RNA from 1 species
GAUGAAGAACGCAGUGAAAUGCGAUAAGUAAUGUGAAUUGCAGAAUUCAGUGAAUCAUCGAAUCUUUGAACGCACAUUGCGCCCAUUAGUAUUCUAGUGGGCAUGCCUGUUCGAGCGUCAUUAAGUCCACUUAAGCCCUGCUUAGUGUUGGGAGACUGCUCCAGCGGUGCUACCCUGUAGCUACCCUGCAGCUCCUCAAAGACAGCGGCGGAGUUGUGGUAUCCUCUGAGCUUAGUAACUUGUUCUAGCUUUCGAGUACACCACUUCCCCUGCCGUAAAACCCUUAAUUUUUAAUGGUUGACCUCGAAUCAGGUAGGAAUACCCGCUGAACUUAAGCAUAUCAAUAAGCGGAGGA